AACGAACGCUGGCGGCAUGCCUAAUACAUGCAAGUCGAACGAGAUCUUCGGAUCUAGUGGCGCACGUGUGCGUAACGCGUGGGAAUCUGCCCUUGGGUUCGGAAUAACUUCUGGAAACGGAAGCUAAUACCGGAUGAUGACGUAAGUCCAAAGAUUUAUCGCCCAAGGAUGAGCCCGCGUAGGAUUAGGUAGUUGGUGAGGUAAAGGCUCACCAAGCCGACGAUCCUUAGCUGGUCUGAGAGGAUGAUCAGCCACACUGGGACUGAGACACGGCCCAGACUCCUACGGGAGGCAGCAGUAGGGAAUAUUGGACAAUGGGCGAAAGCCUGAUCCAGCAAUGCCGCGUGAGUGAUGAAGGCCUUAGGGUUGUAAAGCUCUUUUACCCGGGAUGAUAAUGACAGUACCGGGAGAAUAAGCUCCGGCUAACUCCGUG
rnacentral:rRNA from 1 species